rnacentral:rRNA from 1 species
AUUGAACGCUGGCGGCAGGCCUAACACAUGCAAGUCGAGCGGAUGAAGGGAGCUUGCUCCUGGUUUCAGCGGCGGACGGGUGAGUAAUGCCUAGGAGUCUGCCUGGUUGUGGUGGAUAACGUCCGGAAACGGGCGCUAAUACCGCAUACGUCCUGAGGGAGCAAGUGGGGGAUCUUCGGACCUCACGCUAUCAGAUGAGCCUAGGUCGGAUUAGCUAGUUGGUGGGGUGAAGGCCUACCAAGGCGACGAUCCGUAACUGGUCUGAGUGGAUGAUCAGUCACACUGGAGCUGAGACACGCACCAGACGCCUACGGGAGGCAGCAGAGGGGAAUAGGGGACAGUGGGCGAAAGCCUGAUCCAGCCAGGCCGCGUGUGUGAAGAAGGUCUUCGGAGUGGGAAGCACUUUAUGUGGGGAGGAAGGGCAGUAAGUUAAUACCUAGCUGUUUUGACGGUACCAACAGAAUAAGCACCGGCUAACUUCGUG